AACGAACGCUGGCGGCAUGCCUAACACAUGCAAGUCGAACGAGACCUUCGGGUCUAGUGGCGCACGGGUGCGUAACGCGUGGGAACCUGCCCUUAGGUUCGGAAUAACUCCCCGAAAGGGGUGCUAAUACCGGAUAAUGUCUUCGGACCAAAGAUUUAUCGCCUUUGGAUGGGCCCGAGUUGGAUUAGCUAGUUGGUAGGGUAAAAGCCUACCAAGGCGACGAUCCAUAGCUGGUCUGAGAGGAUGAUCAGCCACACUGGGACUGAGACACGGCCCAGACUCCUACGGGAGGCAGCAGUGGGGAAUAUUGGACAAUGGGCGAAAGCCUGAUCCAGCAAUGCCGCGUGAGUGAUGAAGGCCUUAGGGUUGUAAAGCUCUUUUACCCGGGAUGAUAAUGACAGUACCGGGAGAAUAAGCUCCGGCUAACUCCGUG
rnacentral:rRNA from 1 species